CCACAACAAUGGCCACCGCCAAUGUCCCAGUCCCUGGAGAGGUCUCACCCCUCACCGAGAUGCACUCAGGGCCUAUUAGCCAGAAAGUAAACUUUGGGAGCCAUGAUAAUUACAUUCCAGUCAGUGAAGUAAACAGAAAAUCAUGGAAUCAGCAAUACUUUGCCUUGGCAUUUCCCAAACCGCCACGGCCAGGAAGAAAACGGAGAUCAAUGCCUUCCCUAUUAAGAGAUAAGAGAAUUCCUGAAUAUAAUCAAGAUAAAUCAAGGGGAGGCCGCAGACAACCGUUAUGGAUGUACCGUUCUUUAAUGACAAUUUCUGAAGGACCAUCUGCUUAUUUAGCUGCCAGGACACAGCCUCCAUCUAAAUCAACUCGUCGCCCCAGGGAAGAUGCUGGUGUACAGAAGCCCUUAGGUAAGAAAGAUAGAGAAGACAAGAAGGCAGAAAACAAGAAAAAGUCAGAUUCAGAAACAGAACCCACAGCUUUACAGGAGUUAAGAAAAGAUGCAAAGAAAGACAAGGAUAUAGAAAUAGGCACUAAAGGCGAAAAAGACAUUACAAAAACAGAUGCCAAAAAAGACAAGAAAGAUGCAAAGAAGGGCAAGGAGCCAGCUACAGAAUCUGAAAAUGAGACAAAGGAUGCAAAGAAAGAUGCCAAAAAAGAUAAGAAAGGUUCAAAGAAGGGCAAAGAGUCAGCUACCGAAUCUGAAGAUGAGAAAAAAGAUGCAAAGAAAGAUUCCAAAAAAGAUAAGAAAGGUUCAAAGAAGGGCAAAGAGUCAGCUAACGAAUCCGAAGAUGAGAAAAAGGGUGUAAAGAAAGGUUCCAAAAAAGAUAAGAAAGAUGCAAAGAAGGGCAAGGAGUCAGCUACAGAAUCUGAAGGUGAAAAAACGGAUGCAAAGAAGGAUAAGGCCGAGAAAAAAGACACAAAGAAACCCAAUGAGAAGGGUGAUGAAUCAAAGGACAAGAAAGAUGCAAAGGGGAAGGGGAGUAAAAAAGAAAAGAAAGAUGAAAAGAAGCCCGGUAAGACAGAUAGCAAAUCAAAGGACGAGGCCAAGAAAGAUGCCAAAAAGGAUACUGACACAGAAUCUGCUGAUGCAAAGGAUUCAAAGAAAGAUGCAAAGAAGGAUGCAAAGAAGGAUGCAAAGAAGGGCAAGUAGCCCUUGGAUAAUAAUUCAAAAGCAUAGUUGAUAAAACAAUUUUAGUAGUCUGCAACUGAAUCUAUGAGAGUAAAGGGGAGUUCAAUGAAUUAAUCAAAUAUUUUUUUAAAUGGAGUAAAGAAGAAUACAAAGAAAGACUCAGAGAAGCUUCAUUAAAAAUGUAACAUGUUAAUAAAAAUUAAGAGAUAAUUCAUUGAAGGACUUGAAGGAUACUUAUGCUAAAUUUGGGGAUAUAAAGGAUUCAGUGAAAAAUCCCUAGAACGAGUCAAAGAAGAAUAUUCAAAUAAGGAUGUAAAAGUUAAUGACGCUGAAUCUGCAGAUCCAAAAAAAUAAAUCAACAAAGUCUUCAAAAAAAUCCAAGUAGGCGUAUGUUGAAUCCAUAGAUUCUAAUGAUCUGAAGCUGCAUCCAGAGAUUUAAAUAAAGAAAUAUAGGAGCCAUGUGAGGAAGUUAAACGAAUUUCAGAAAGUUCACUUUCAAAUAAAUAUGAAUACAAAUUAAAAGUAGCAUUCCUGGAAAAAAAAAAGAAAAUAUUAUUACUUCCAUGUGAGCCUAUACCACCCUCUCUGAAGUGUAAACAGCCACAACCAGGUGGAUGGAUGUCGAAUGUUCCACUUGCACACUCAGCUAAAUACAACUGAAAAUAGUGAACAACUUCUCUCUGUUUAAAGAAGGAUGAAAAUCAAAAUUUUCCAAAUUACAAAUGUGAGUAAAUUUAAAUGAGGCAUAUUAAAGAGAUUCCUGAUAAAUUGCUAAAUGUGUAUACAAAACCAAAUUAAUCAGAAUUCAACAGU